rnacentral:rRNA from 1 species
UACAGAGGGGGCAAGCGUUGUUCGGAAUUACUGGGCGUAAAGGGCGCGUAGGCGGCCUUCUAAGUCGAACGUGAAAUCCCCGGGCUCAACCCGGGAACUGCACAGGAAACUAGCGGGCUUGAGUUCGGGAGAGGGAAGCGGAAUUCCGGGUGUAGCGGUGAAAUGCGUAGAUAUCCGGAGGAACACCGGUGGCGAAGGCGGCUUCCUGGACCGACACUGACGCUGAGGCGCGAAAGCUAGGGGAGCAAACGGG